AGCGAACGCUGGCGGCAGGCCUAACACAUGCAAGUCGAACGAACCUUUCGGGGUUAGUGGCGGACGGGUGGGUAACACGUGGGAACGUGCCUUUAGGUUCGGAAUAACUCAGGGAAACUUGUGCUAAUACCGAAUGUGCUCUUCGGGGGAAAGAUUAAUCGCCUUUAGAGCGGCCGGCGUCUGAUUAGCUAGUUGGUUGAGGUAAUGGCUCACCAAGGCGACGAUGAGUAGCUGGUCUGAGAGGAGGAUUAGCCACAUUGGGAAUGAGACACGGCCCAAACUCCUACGCGAGGCAGCAGUGGGUAAUCCUGCGCAAUGGGCGAUAGCCUGACGAAGCCAGGCCGCGUGAAUGAUGAAGGUCUUAGGAAUGUAAAAUUCUUUCACCCGGGACGAUAAUGACGGUACCCGGAGAAGAAGCCCCGGCUAACUUCGUG
rnacentral:rRNA from 1 species